CGACGCGACCACCGACCAGUUCGCUCCAGCAGCCCUCGCCUCGCGCCGCACCAGCCCAAGGAAAGGAGCGCCCAUUCCUUCCCGCUCCCGCCCCCCGGUCGCGCGCCGCCACCUCUGCGCCUCCCCAGCGGCCAUGCUCACCGGGCGGGAGAGCCUGGUCCGCCUCAUCGGCCGGCGCCGCCGCUCCCCUCUCCCGGCCUCGCUCGCCGCCGUCCUAUCCCCUUCCUCACCGUUCCCUGCCGCAUCCACCGCUCAGGUUGAAAGUCAAACCCCGCCGCCCCGAACCCCGUUCGCUGGAUAUUGACAUUGAGGGCUCAAAGGCUGGAGCUUCUGUCUCAUCACCUGGUUGUUUGAAUGGCUCACUUGGCAUUUCUAAGAUGAUUGGUACCUAUGUACCUUCAAAUACUCUCUUGCCAAAUGUUAAGGAUGCUGUAAGUAACGUUCCAGUGGAACCCUGCUCUUCUAGCAUGCUUCCAACAGUGGCAACCUCUUGCAGUAUUGAUGCAUGUGCAGAAUUGGAUUCUAGCACCAUUAUAGCAGUUGACACCGUCAUAGUUGGCCGGAGGUUCCAUGAGAACAUUGAAUUGAGAGAAGAUGCAGGCAUUACUUUUCAGAGAGAUCCUCAGAAUGCUAAGGACUCUGAUGCUAUAAAGGUUCUUUAUGCAGCGUCUGAAUGCAAGGAGAUGCUUGGAUAUUUGCCUCGAGAGCUUGCUAAAGUUUUGGCUCCUCUAAUGGACAGACAGUAUGUUGAAUGCGAGGGAUAUGUGGUUGGUUUGCCUGAACAACAGCUUGGCAAUGUUCCCAUCCAGAUUACUGUCCAGAAAUAUCAGAGAAAUGAUGAUCCAAAGUAUUUGCAAUCCUUAUGGGAAAAGUUUAUCAGCACCAUUAAAAGUGAAAAUUUUCAGCAACCUACAAGUGCAAGAUACCAGAAAAAUUUUAAUUUGAUGAUAUCGGAUGUCAUUGCCAACCAUACGCAUGUUUUUAGUGAUAUAGAGAAAUCAUUUUUAGCUUCUUUUAAGUCGUUGUCAGAUGACGGGCAAUGCCUUUUUGUAAGGAUUUACACUCGAAAAGGGCCAUGGUUCCGAAAGAGCACCAUCUCGUAUCGUGAGAUAUUAGAUCAGGAGCAUGCCGCAAUGGAGCUGAAUUUGGCAGGUUAUAUCGACAUGCUUUCUUGCACAGUUGAUUCAUCAGAAUAUGAUAUGGAGGAGAUUCUUGAUGUUUUAAGUGUUCCUGAAAUAAAAGAAAUUCUAAAGGAGUUUCAGAAGGUUUACAAUCCCGUCUUCAAUACCUUUUAUCAUCACUACCCGUACACUGUUUGCCUCUUGAUUAAAUAGUCAUAUCCAGGAUUUCUGAAGUGGCAUUCUUAUGCUAUUAGCCUAUUACUUAGGGAUCAUCAAGUUCUUUCUCCAGAAAGCAUCUUGGCCAUUUUGUUAUUCUCUGGGGAUCUGGACUUCAUGCCAACUGAAAUUUAUAGGUAUGAAGAUGCAAUCAGGAUUCUAAAGAUACUACUCAGUAAAAUUGCUUGUGAUAGACGGCGAGGGUAUUGGACACUGAGGCUGUCUGUUGAUUUGGAGCAUAUGGGUCGUCCAAAUGAGAGCCUUUCCAUAGCUGGAGGAGGAGUAAUUGAUCCAUGGGUUCGUGCUGGUUCAAAGUUCGCGCUGCAAAGGAGAGUGCUGCGUUUAAGCAAACCUCCACGAUGCUGGAAAAUUCCCAGUUAUGCCGAUUAUGUCAAAAGAAAUAUAAAAGAGGUGAAUAUUGAAGGAAGGCCAUUAAAUUGUGAGACAGGAACAAAGAAUUUAUUUUAUGGUUAUGAUGGGGAACUUUGUGGGGUUGAGCAGUUGGCUUUACAAUAUUAUGCUGAUGAAGGUGGUGCUUGGCAAGGUACCCAUUCAGAAGGUGGCAUUUGGAUGACUAUCUUUGGCCUUCUGAUGUGGGAUGUAAUGUUUUCGGACAUACAAGAUGUUUUCCAGUCUAAAUUCCAGAUGGCUCCCCUUGAUCUGGAAACAGAUGAUUUCUACAAAUCAAGAAAGGACCUUGCAGAAUCCCAGCUGAAGAAGAUACAAGAUGGGAUGGCUGAAGAGAUGCUUAUCAGUUCCUGGGAGCUGCAUCAGGGGACAUCCUGCCACGGCGUUAAUUGGGACCGUCAUUCCUUAACUGACUUACGGGCUGUUGUUGCAUGCAUUGGCGGCCAUAGCUUGGCGUUGCUCCUCCGCCAUCUAGCUGUUGAUUACGGAAGCUGGUCUAGUGGAAUGCCUGAUCUACUGCUAUGGCGUUUCCUUGAUGAAAGAGGGGGAGGUGAGGUUAAACUUGUGGAGGUCAAAGGACCAAGGGACCAGCUGUCAGAGCAACAGCGUGCAUGGAUUCUUCUUCUCAUGGAUUUUGGAUUUGAUGUGGAAGUUUGCAAAGUAAGCCCAGUUGUUAAGCGGAGAUAGCUCCCCUUUCAAAGUUGCACUUAGUGUAACAAUUUCAAUUUAUUGAUCAUUUAUGCAUCAGAUAAGCCUUUGAUUAAUUAGAAGAGCAAAACUGUAACAUGUUAACAGUGACAUUGUUUUUUUAAUGUCAACAGUGACAUUGUUUUUUUUAAA